rnacentral:rRNA from 1 species
UCGAGACCAAAACACAACGAGUGAUUUUGAGAACCCGUCAAAAAAGCGGUGGCUUUUGCUACUGACAUAAAAUCCACCCGAGUCAUCGCCUCAGCCCCUCUUUUGGGCAGGGAUGUGAUGAGGGAUGGAUGAACCCUCAAAUCGGCGCGGCAUAGCGCCAAGGGAAUAUUGAAACACAAGCCCAUAAAUGGGUUUUGUGGGAUGGGGUGCUGUUGCACGCCAUAUCGAUUGACACGACUCUCGGCAAUGGAUAUCUCGGCUCUCGCAUCGAUGAAGAGCGCAGCGAAAUGCGAUAUGUGGUGCGAAUUGCAGAAUCCCGCGAACCAUCGAGUCUUUGAACGCAAGUUGCGCCCGAGGCCAAUCGGCCAAGGGCACGCCUGCCUGGGUGUCAAGCAUUUUAUCGCUCCAUGUCUAGUCUCCCAUCGAUGGAUGUGUGGCAAAGGCUCGGAUGUGCACAGUGGCUCGUCGUGCCCCUUGGUGCGGCGGGUUGAAGGGCGGGUCAUCUUCUCGUUGGUUGCGAACAAUAAGGGGUGGAUUAAAUAAGGCCUAUGCUAUUGUGUCAAGCGUGCCUGAGAGAUGAUCAUACUUUUUAGGUGAUCCCAAUUCAUGCGUCGAUCCAUGGAUGGCGUUUCGAAU